rnacentral:rRNA from 1 species
UACAGAGGUCUCAAGCGUUGUUCGGAUUCAUUGGGCGUAAAGGGUGCGUAGGCGGCGCGGUAAGUCGGGUGUGAAAUCUCGGAGCUUAACUCCGAAACUGCAUUCGAUACUGCCGUGCUUGAGGACUGGAGAGGAGACUGGAAUUUACGGUGUAGCGGUGAAAUGCGUAGAUAUCGAGAGGAACACCUGCGGCGAAGGCGGGUUGCUGGGCUGACACUGACGCUGAUGUGCGAAAGCCAGGGGAGCGAACGGG